GUAACUGCGAGUGAAGCGGGAAAAGCUCAAAUUUAAAAUCUGGCAGUCUCUGGCUGUCCGAGUUGUAAUCUAGAGAAGUAAUGCCCGUGCUGGACCGUGUAUAAGUCUCCUGGGAUGGGGCGUCAUAGAGGGUGAGAAUCCCGUCUUUGACACGGACUACCAGUGCAUUGUGGUAUGCUCUCAAAGAGUCGAGUUGUUUGGGAAUGCAGCUCAAAAUGGGUGGUAAAUUCCAUCUAAAGCUAAAUAUUGGCGAGAGACCGAUAGCGAACAAGUACCGUGAGGGAAAGAUGAAAAGAACUUUGGAAAGAGAGUUAAACAGUACGUGAAAUUGCUGAAAGGGAAACGCUUGAAGUCAGUCACGUUAGCCGGGGAUCAGCCUUGCUUCUGCUUGGUGUACUUUCUGGUUGACGGGUCAGCAUCAAUUUUGACCACUGGAAAAAGGCCUGGGGAAUGUGGCAGCUUCGGCUGUGUUAUAGCCCCUAGUCGCAUACAGUGGUUGGGAUUGAGGAACUCAGCACGCCGCAAGGCCGGGUUUCGACCACGUUCGUGCUUAGGAUGCUGGCAUAAUGGCUUUAAGCGACCCGUCUUGAAACACGGACCAAGGAGUCUAACAUGCCUGCGAGUAUUUGGGUGGAAAACCCAAGUGCGUAAUGAAAGUGAAAGUUGAGAUCCCUGUCGUGGGGAGCAUCGACGCCCGGACCAGAACUUUUGGGACGGAUCCGCGGUGGAGCAUGUAUGUUGGGACCCGAAAGAUGGUGAACUAUGCCUGAAUAGGGUGAAGCCAGAGGAAACUCUGGUGGAGGCUCGUAGCGAUUCUGACGUGCAAAUCGAUCGUCAAAUUUGGGUAUAGGGGCGAAAGACUAAUCGACCAUCUAGUAGCUGGUUCUGCGAGUUUCCCUCAGGAAA
rnacentral:rRNA from 1 species